GGGGGCGUAGCUCAGAUGGUAGAGCUCUCACUUAGCAUACGAGAGGCACCGGGAUCGAUAACCGGCGCCUCCA
rnacentral:tRNA from 1 species